rnacentral:rRNA from 2 species
CCGUACACAAAAGCGCAUGUGCUGUGAGCUCGAUGAGUAGGGCGGGACACGUGGUAUCCUGUCUGAAUAUGGGGGGACCAUCCUCCAAGGCUAAAUACUCCUGACUGACCGAUAGUGAACCAGUACCGUGAGGGAAAGGCGAAAAGAACCCCGGCGAGGGGAGUGAAAAAGAACCUGAAACCGUGUACGUACAAGCAGUGGGAGCACAGGUUUACCUGUGUGACUGCGUACCUUUUGUAUAAUGGGUCAGCGACUUAUAUUCUGUAGCAAGGUUAACCGAAUAGGGGAGCCGGAGGGAAACCGAGUCUUAAUUGGGCGUUAAGUUGCAGGGUAUAGACCCGAAACCCGGUGAUCUAGCCAUGGGCAGGUUGAAGGUUGGGUAACACUAACUGGAGGACCGAACCGACUAAUGUUGAAAAAUUAGCGGAUGACCUGUGGCUGGGGGUGAAAGGCCAAUCAAACCGGGAGAUAGCUGGUUCUCCCCGAAAGCUAUUUAGGUAGCGCCUCGUGAAUUCAUCUCCGGGGGUAGAGCACUGUUUCGGCUAGGGGGCCAUCCCGGCUUACCAACCCGAUGCAAACUGCGAAUACCGGAGAAUGUUAUCACGGGAGACACACGGCGGGUGCUAACGUCCGUCGUGAAGAGGGAAACAACCCAGACCGCCAGCUAAGGUCCCAAAGUCAUGGUUAAGUGGGAAACGAUGUGGGAAGGCCCAGACAGCCAGGAUGUUGGCUUAGAAGCAGCCAUCAUUUAAAGAAAGCGUAAUAGCUCACUGGUCGAGUCGGCCUGCGCGGAAGAUGUAACGGGGCUAAACCAUGCACCGAAG